AUACGUAGGUGACAAGCGUUAUCCGGAUUUACUGGGCGUAAAGGGCGUGUAGGCGGUCUUGCAAGUCAGAAGUGAAAUUCCUGAGCUCAACUCGGGCGCUGCUUCUGAAACUGCAGGACUUGAGUGCUGGAGGGGAUAGCGGAAUUCCUAGUGGAGCGGUAAAAUGCGCAGAUAUUAGGAAGAACACCGGUGGCGAAGGCGACUUUCUGGACAGGAACUGACACGGAGGUACGAAAGCGUGGGGAGAAAAGAGGAUUAGAUACCCUGGUAGUCCACGCCGUAAACGAUGAGCACUAGUUGUGGGGACCGAGAGGUUUCGGUGACGCAGUUAACGCAAUAAGUGCUCCGCCUGGGGAGUACGCACGCAAGUGUGAAACUCAAAUGAAUUGACGGGG
rnacentral:rRNA from 1 species